UCGACCUCGGCGCCUGCCGCGUCAGCUACCACGACGUCGGACGCGUGGAGCUGGAGAUACAAGCUUCAUUAGCCGUUCGCAUCUUCGACGAGCAUACUUCAUCUUGGUGGAGAAUUGUUUUGACCCAUGAUUUCCCUAUGAUGGUGGUGUUCCAAGUGAUCGGAGUCGCCUGGGUUCUGUUCAUGUUCCUCCAGGAAUGGCGAGACGGUAGAAGGAGAAGAGCCCAGGCCAAUCGGCUGCCAUAGGUGGGAGGUUCAGUUCAGGGUUUCAACUUCUGUUUGUAAUUCGACCGAUCGGCUGAUCCUGAACAAGCAAAUCCAUUUGCGGCAAAAGAAAAGGGCCCAUAUAUUUCCAUACAAGAUUGUACAUUCAGAAAUUGAUAGGGACUGUUUCCUUGUUCCUCCGAUUUAUCAAAUGGAAAAGGCGAUAUACUGAUACUCCGUAUAAUGUUGGAGACUGGAGAGUGCGGACUGAUAAAUAUGCAGAUACAGAAAUCAAUGUAGGGCUGUAGGCAUCACUUGCGAUGUCACCUUGUUAUUGUUUAUUAUAGAAAAAGUCCAAUAUGACUCCCUCAACUGUAGGUUGGAUCUGAUCUUUAUUCCUCAACCGUAAAACCAGGUAUAACGACUCCUUCAA